rnacentral:tRNA from 1 species
GGAGAGAUGCCAGAGUGGUUGAAUGGGGCGGUCUCGAAAACCGUUAUACGAAUUUCGUAUCGGGGGUUCGAAUCCCUCUCUCUCCGCCA